rnacentral:rRNA from 1 species
AUUGAACGCUAGCGGGAUGCUUUACACAUGCAAGUCGAACGAGUGGCGGACGGGUGAGUAAUAUAGUGGAACGUGCCCAGUAGCGGGGGAUAACUACGAGAACGAGUGGCUAAUAGCGCAUAAUACUGGAGCGGCCGAUGUGGGAGUAGCGAGUGGGGGGGGUAAAGGCUCACCAAGGGAACGAGCCGUAGCGGGUUUGAGAGGACGACCAGCCACACUUGGACUGAGACACGGCCCAGACUCCUACGGGAGGCAGCAGUGGGGAAUUUUGGACAAUGGGGGAAACCCUGAUCCAGCCAUCCCGCGUGUAUGAGAAGGCCUUCGGGUUGUAAAGUACUUUUGGCAGAGAAGCGGUAUCUGCAGAAUAAGCACCGGCUAACUACGUGCCAGCAGCCGCGGUAAUAC